rnacentral:hammerhead_ribozyme from 1 species
AUCUGUCUGACGAGUGCCAAAUAGGAUGAAACACGCGUCCUGAAU